UUCCUGCUGCAGGUGUCUGACAACGUGGAGGGAGAUAUAACCAUGGUAACUGUGAUUAUUACGGAAAAUUGCUGCCAUUACUACAGAGGUUACCGCAUCUGCACUUGGCUUUGGUGCUGGCUGUUCCCACGGCAACGGAACAUGCUCUGGAUUUGCCUUGACCCAUUCUGAGCGAGACACCCCCCGAAAGCAAGCCUGCCCUCUGAGGGGUCCCCACCUCGCUGACGCUGCCGUUUCCUGGGCACGGCGUGCUGGAGAUCACCGGGACCCGUGCCAGCUGCAGCAGUGUGGGGCGGCCGCUGCCCGGGCCACGCACCCCAGCCCGGCGCGCAGCGACAGCAGAGCAACCGCCUGUGUGCAUCUCGGAGCUGAGACCCUAUAAAUGACAAACAGAGCUUCUAGUCCCCGGGAGGUCAUCCUUGCGUGAUGCCUUAUAACUAGAAAUUACAGCCCUGACCCAGCAUUUAAAUAAGUGCGCAGUGGUAUUGAUAUACGUGAUCUUAAUGGCAAGGAGAAUGAUCAGGGCCCUGGGGCAGAAAACCUCUGGCAAAAUGAGACCAAGAACUCUAGGACUGCUAGAUUAGAGAGACAAUUAAGAGGGCAAAUAACAAAAGUGAAAAAAAUUAAAAACUAGAACUAGAGAACUGAGAUAAGGAUCUCAAGGAAUGGGGCUGUACUUUUCUCAGACGAGCUAUUUGUUUAAUUACCUCAUAAGUGAAGACGAAAGUAUCUGUACUGAAGCCACUUGGACUAAAGACUGAAGCAGGAUAGGCAUGUGUAAGGGAGUGGGUAUACGUGAUUACAUACUCUUUACAGGCUACUCAAGAAUUAUGUGUAAAUAAAAGGUUUUCUAAGAUAAUUA